UACGUAGGGGGCAAGCGUUGUCCGGAAUCAUUGGGCGUAAAGAGCGUGUAGGCGGCUCGGUAAGUCCGCUGUGAAAGUCCAGGGCUCAACCCUGGAAAGCCGGUGGAAACUGUCGAGCUAGAGUCCGGAAGAGGCGAGUGGAAUUCCUGGCGUAGCGGUGAAAUGCGCAGAUAUCAGGAGGAACACCAAUGGCGAAGGCAGCUCGCUGGGACGGUACUGACGCUGAGACGCGAAAGCGUGGGGAGCAAACAGG
rnacentral:rRNA from 1 species